AGCGAACGCUGGCGGCGUGCUUAACACAUGCAAGUCGAACGUGAACGGGCUUCGGCCUUAGUAAAGUGGCGUACGGGUGAGUAACACGUAGGUAAUCUACCUUAUAGUCAGGAAUAACCUGCCGAAAGGCGGGCUAAUACUGGAUAGAGCGACGGAAAUCGUAAGGAUUUUUUCGGGAAAGGGAGCCUGAUAAGGGCCCUCGCUGUAAGAUGAGCCUGCGUCUGAUUAGUUAGUUGGUGGGGUAAUGGCCUACCAAGACGAUGAUCAGUAGCUGGACUGAGAGGAUGAUAAGCCACACUGGAACCGAGACACGGUCCAGACUCCUACGGGAGGCAGCAGUGGGGAAUCUUGCGCAAUGGACGAAAGUCUGACGCAGCCACGCCGCGUGAGUGAAGAAGGCCAUCGGGUUGUAAAGCUCUGUCGGAUGGGACGAAAAUACCUAAGUUUAAGAGAUGUAGGUACUGACGGUACCAUCAAAGGAAGCACCGGCUAACUCUGUGCCAGCCGCCGCCGUAAGAC
rnacentral:rRNA from 1 species